rnacentral:rRNA from 1 species
GGUCCGCUAAUACGUGCCAGCAGCCGCGGUAAUACGUAAGGACCGAGCGUUGUCCGGAAUCAUUGGGCGUAAAGAGUACGUAGGCGGUAUGAUAAGUUAGGAGUAAAAGGCACCGGCUCAACCGGCGUAAGCUUUUAAAACUGUCAUACUUGAGACAUUGAGGGGAAAGUGGAAUUUCUAGUGUAGCGGUGAAAUGCGCAGAUAUUAGGAAGAAUACCAGAGGCGAAAGCGACUUUCUAGCGAUGAUCUGACGCUGAGGUACGAAAGCGUGGGAAGCAAACAGGAUUAGAUACCCUGGUAGUCCACGCCGUAAACGAUGAGUGUUAGAUGUCCGAGGUAAACUUGGGUGUCACAAGCCAACGCGAUAAACACUCCGCCUGGGGAGUACGUACGCA